CCGUUUCGAUUUGUUGGGGACAAAUAAAGUGAAUGUGGCUAUCAAUGCCACCCGCUGUGACAAUAUGACCUUCGCCAGCAACAGCUUCGGUUGCGGGGCCAAUAAUAAUGUCAACAUCGUCUUGAAUAUAAGGGUUUCCAGCUUUGCCAAUUUUGUGGAUUUUGCCGUCCUUGAUGCCAAUAUCCGCUUUCACAACGCCCCACCAAUCAAGGAUUAGGGCAUUAGUGAUCACCAUAUCUACCGCGCCAUCUUCCCGAGAAAUUGGCGAUUGCCCCAUACCAUCGCGG
rnacentral:sRNA from 1 species